GCCACCGUCAGUUCCAGUUUCAGAUUUUGUCUCGCGCCGCUUUGAAACUUUGACUCUCUUUUUUGCCUCUAUUGACUCUAGAAAACUUCCGUCGAGUGCUGCUUCAUCUUCUCCUCCGAUUCGCCCCACAUCAAUCAGCCUCGCCUCACCUUGCUCUGCCUCCACCCAUCUUCCCUGCCCCGAAUUCUUCCCCAGACGAGGGUCGCCGCCUUUUGAUCAAGGAGAGAGAAGAGGAGACGGGAUCGAGGGCGUCGCCGGAGGCCCUGCGUGUUUGCUACACCAAGAUUUUGGGAAUCAGAUCUGCACCAUGCCGGUCAAAUAAACCGUCACCGCUCACAUCCCCGCAAUCCAACGCGAUGGAGUUUCCUCUGUGCCCCCAACAACACAGGCGGCCCGUGCCUGGAUGGGUGGGGGCGUCUGUUACCCGAGGUCAUCGGCAGGCGGUGUUUGAAGGAGGAACAGGGCCGACAACCAGAACAGGAGCACUACCUGAACAACAAGUUGGGCAGCCUCCAGAAGCGACCUGGGAGUUGGAACAGUGGUUGUUUCAAGCAAACACGUAAGCCUCACACAGGCAUGAUCCCAGUGAAUGUAGAGCUUAUGUAGGGAAAGGAUGGUAACCUGAGUACCAGUACACCUGCAGAAGAUACCUACCUUUCCAGAAGUUAUGGAGAGCUUAACAAGAAAAUAGGAUAGCCGAUCGAAACACUGAUGAAUUUUUCUUAGGUUUCCAUUUCAAAAAAAUCGCUAUUCCCUCCUGCUAAGGCAUGCGAACAAGGACUUGGUGAGAAGACAGUACAAAUGAGACGGUGUUGUGGCUGAGACGUGCAUGCAGGGAGGGAGAGUCAUGGACAGUGUGGGUCGGCCACAAGAUCUCCGAGGGCUUGGCCUGAACAAGCUGGGAGAGUCGGCGAUGUCCACAAGGAGGAGUCCGCGAGCAAGGAUGGUCACACCGUCAAGUCCCCUCCAGAGACCGCCUAACACGCCGCCUCCGGGACGGCAAGUGGAAAGGGCAUGGACACAAAGGAGGUGGCAGAGAAGGCCGGGCAGACCAAGGACACGACAAUGGAGGCUCUGAAAGGGUCAUCCGGCGAGCCUGCCAUUCUCCUUGGCCCACCCCCAUUUGCUCGCCCUUCUCUGAAAGGGUCAUCUGAAAGGGUCAACGAAGGUGAACUAUUGCCUAUUGACUUUUGUGGGGUGUUGCUUUUCACCAACUUGCCAAUAAUUGUUUUCCAUUUUAGAUGUAGGUAUGCAUAGACAAGAAAGAGCUGCUGCAUUUUAUUAUAUAUUAUUUGUUAGCUUGAACAUAGCAGUGCAUCUCAGGAAAGGGAAUCAAAAAUAUGGCACUGUGUGUGUGGUGCCAACUUUAGUGACGCCACUCUGAAGUUGAGGCCCUUACUCUUCGCUAUAUGUAGAAAUUGAAGUUGGUUUUCGAGAAAGGCUUAAUUCAGUUCAAUGAUUCAGGGAUUCUGGUACAUGUUAAUUGAGAAUCUGAUCUAUAACUCUUAUGAAGGUUCAUAUAUGGUGUAAGUGCUUACGAAAUUUGUUAUUGUCCUUUACCACAUAGACAGUAUUUAAACA